UAGGGAUAAACUUUGGGUACACAGUACCCUUCUCCACACUUAGUGAUAUUAUAGUAGGUUGUUGUUUUUGAUAGAUGAGCACCACCUUUCGAUAGCGACUAAAUCCCUAAAUUCACCUGCCCUUGGGCUUUUCUCCUCAUUCUGCCAUUGAAUCAAAAAACCCGAUUCUUUUUUUGUUCUUCAAAAUUCACAAAUCACUCUACUAUUAAAAAGAUCAAAGAUUGAGAGUUUGAGGUUCGGAAAUGGAGAAGGAGAGCUAUUGCCUCUCUGCCAUCUCACCGUUAGAUGCUGUACUUCUUUUAACUAUUGGUGUGGUCACAAUAGUUAUGAUUCGAAUUGUCUAUAUUGUAUAUCGGAGAAGCAAACCGUUCAAUCCAAAAUCACCACUACCUCUCAGUACUCUUAUUGUUUUGGGUUCAGGUGGUCACACAGCAGAAAUGCUAAAUUUAUUAAAUGUGCUUCAAAUGGAUAGGUUUAAGCCAAGGUUUUAUGUUGCUGCUGCUACAGAUAAUAUGAGUCUCCAAAAGGCACGCGUGUGUGAGGAUUCCUUGGUUGAUAAGGUAUGUUACGAUGUAUUUAAUUCAAUUGGUCGUUAUAUUCCGUUUGUGUUCUUUUGCUGGGUCAAUUUGGGGAUUCAAAAUAUAAAGAAGUAAACACAUGAAGAAGCCAAGGGUAUUAAACAUAUACUGUAUAUACAUAAAAGAUAAACUUUGACCUUGUAUAUACAAUGUUAUUUUCCGGGGAAGGGGAUUCAGAUGAACCCUUUGCGGCUUGCGCCCCCUAGUGCCACCCCUGGAUACCAUCAUGACAGCCUAUUAAGAUGAAAAGGCAACAUGCGAGUGGAAUACAAUGAAUAUUCACUUGCUUCUCUGGCCGAGGAAUUAAAAGAUUUUUUACAUUAGAGUGAAGAUGACUAGGAGGCACUUCCUCUUGAGAAGUAGUUUGAUAGACAUUAAUUUGCUUACUUUAAUGAAUCGAAAUAUCUCCCUUAACUGAAUUUUUGUUCAGUGUAACAGAUAUAGUCAACAAAUUUUGUUGCCUAUGGUGUAAAUUAGGAAAUAAUGACUGCUUGAGGUACAUUCGCCAUCCUCAAAAUGGUCAGUACUUGCAUGGUUUCGAAAAUUCAUGAGCUCCAUACAUGCUAUUUAAGCUCACUUAAACAUUAUUAAAUGAAUUCACUGAUGUCUUGGUUUGUUUGAGGCUGCAAGAUACUAAGAUAUAAUUGAGUCUAGAGAGAUAAGCUCCUUUUCUCUACUUUAACAUCCAUCACAGAAAGUAAGAUUUACUUCGUAGCUGGGAACAAAUCUUAAGAUAUUACAGAAAAACCCCACAAAUUCAGAAGCUUCUGGGAUGGAUCUGUCUGCAACUAAACAAAGCAUCGGAAGCUGAAGGCAACAGCUACAGGAAACGAAAGCUCACAAAAACUGGCGUAGACUACUAUAUCCAAAAGAUCAAUUAGUAUGGGAGAUAUGUAAGUAUGGUAGCCAUACAAAGAAACAUGAGAAUUGUUCUAAUAUUGCCGAAGAUAUUUACAAAUGCUCGAUGGGAGCACAUUGCCAACGGGAUUUUGAGAUUUGUUGAAAAAGGAUUUGCUCACAGGAAAAAACACAACCACUAAGACUGUAUUGCUGAGGUUACUGAGAUUUAUCUGGUACGGCCUGAAUUUAUUUUAUCAACAAUGAAAGAUGAAGAAUAACCCCAAUCAGAACUGGUGGCACUAUUCUUCAGACAAAAUUGGAUUUCCUUAGCAGGUGUGAGGUCAGGAGAUUCAUUGGAAGCUACCAAGAGGUGCCUACGACCUUAAAAAUUCAAAAAUGUGUUUCAAAGUAAAUGGAAGGUAUCUACCAAAGUCCAGACUUUAAUUCCUCUUAGAAUUUCCAUAAAGAAGAGAAGCGGAGAGGAUCCUUACGGUUCAAGCUAUCAUAUCCACGGAUUGGUAGGAAUUCCUUGCUAGCUAUCCUUAUAACUUCAUACCUAGCUUCAUUUUAGGAAUUCAUAGCUAGCUAUCAUUUCUAUCAAUUCUAGCUAUCAUUUCUAUCAAUUCUAGCUAUCAUUUCUCGGAAUUCCUAGCAAGCUAUCAUUUCUAGGAAUUCAUAGCUAGCUAUCAUUUGUAGGAGUUAAUAGCGACCAUUUCUUGGAAUCUGUAGCUAUCAUUUCUAGAAACUUGUAACUAUCGUUUCGAGAAAUUCAUAGCUAUGAUUUCUAGGAAUUAGUAUUGUCAUUCCUAGAAAUUCGUAGCUAUCAUUCAUGGGAAUCCAUGGCUAUCACUCCUAGGAAUCUAUGGCUAUCAUUACUAGGUAUCCUUAGCUAUCAUCCCUAAGAAUCCCUAGCUAUCAUUCCUUGGAAUUCUUGGUAAUGAUGGCUAGGAACUUGUAGCUAUCAUUUCUAGCAAUUCAUUACUAUCAUUUCUAGCAAUUCAUUACUAUACUUUGUUGGAAUUCACUACUAUCAUCUCGUAUAUGGAUGACCAAAAACAAUUAAAAACAAUUGUUUUAUCGUUAGUGAACAGAGUUACCUGCUACCUGUUGUUGGUGGGAGGUGGCAUGUAUCCCCUGGAAUUAGUCGAGGUGCGCGCAAGCUGGCCCCGAAACCACGGUUAUUAAAAAAAAAUUAAAAAUAACUUCUGUGGAAUAUAUUGCAAAAAUGAACACUAAGUAAGACUUACACAAAAGAAAUAUUGCUUAGCGACCUUCUUGGUCUAUCUGUCACCAUAACUUUCUUAAUAAUAAUUUCUAUAGGAUUGGUUGGAAAACUUGAAGAGGUUCCGAGCAUCAUGAUGUUUCUCUCAAUUUUUGUAGACUUGCAACAUCUUGUUGGUAGAUUUAGAAAAUAACACUUUGUUGACUGAUAUUCCGAGAAGAAGAACACUUGGGGCUUGUUAGCUAAAACCUUUUCUUUAUAGUGCAUCAAAGAGUAAACAAGCAUAUGAAUAGUUGUGUAAUAAUUGGUGUAUUUUGAAAAAGCUGCAUUCAUUCUUGAAAUUUUGUUAGUAUUAUCAGCAUAUAUCUAAUACAAGAAUGAGUUUAUUCAUUACUGAGAGUGGUUAUUGAAACUUGAAAGUAGCGUGUUAAUGGAAAAUGUUAGUUAUAAAAGACAUGUCUUUUCAAAAGGUAGAGUAGUUGUCAAAUUCUUUCACUUAUGUCUGGUUCAUCUAUAGGAAAAUUUUCUUUCACUUAUUGUCUCAAUAAUUUUGAGACUAAAAAGAGAAACAUCUGCAUAUUUGUACAAUUUGUUCCCUUUUUAUGCUGAAAACAUUUAGCUAUCAAGUGUCUGCCCAGCUUUGCUCUAUGGUAUCUGCUUUUGUCCUUAGAGCUCAUCAAUGAUCUUACUUUUUUUAUGUACUUUGGAAUCUUCAAUUCCAGGUUAAGAGAAAAGUUAGUUUCCUUAUAGUAGUACCUUACUUUCUACCACAACAUAUGCAACCUAGUAGGUCGACUACUCUAUCCUUCUUCCCCUCUAAUUUUCUGAUGCUAUAUUUUAGAUAAAGGAAUAGGGUUGCGGUAGGUUGUCGGCCCGCUUAGAAAUUGUGAACUCUGUAAAUCUCUGAAUGUUGAGCCUUAAUAGAGCAAAAGGGGUACAGAGAAUUCAUCUAGCUG